UCGGUCAAUUGGUUCCGAGAUUGCGUAUUACGGUAGUCGAAAAGCACGUUGCUAAAACCCAUGGAAUCCCAAAACAGAAUCAAAGCAAUUAAUUUGACAGUUCCACGAGAGCCCCGAUUAUCUUUCUACCUGCGCAAAGGAGAGACCGAUUGAAUAUAUCAGCAGGAUGUCUUGUCCAUUUUGUCCCGACAACCUAAUCUGUGUUCUCUGAUGCAUCCUGAUCCGAUUUAGUUCUCAUACAUAUUUUCCUGACGUGCGCACUGCAGCGAAAUCCCUUGUAACAAACACUCAGAGCGCGGGUAAACGUCGAUGGAGCUGAUUGACUGGAUGGACCCUAUUACACCCAGUUCACUGGAAUGACCUCACAAAGAUUGGAGAAAUUGUGAAUGCCACUGUUGAUAUCGGGGCAGGAGAAUGGCUAGACGUUAGUAGGGUGGAUGCAAUUAUUUUGAUCUUUGUCACGAACAGUCCCAGCGGCACGUCGUUGUCUGACAUUAGCGGAUUCGGCGCACAACAAUGCACAUUAUAGACUGUGAUAGACUGUGAUUUUUCCACCCACCGGAGUCGGCGACAUAAUGCACACUACCACCAAACCAUGUCAACCACCAAAAAAGCUGAUUGUGCUAAAACGGAUUCCUUUUGCUCACAUCACGACCUCAAAGGGUAGCGCGAAGAAAAAGGAUAUCACAGGUUUUCACCAAAAGGGAGUCAUUGGAAUUACCGAUAAAUUAGUUUCCGGCGAACACUUCUCUUGAAGAAUCCACUACAUCCGUUACAUGCUAAGAUGCCGUAAUGUUUUCCGGAGGACGUGUCCCCGCAGACCAUACAGGCUAAUCCCGGACUUGAUCUGCAGCCAGCGACCACUUGAAGUGGCGAUGGUGUUCGAACAGCACUUACCGUUUCACCAUCUGCGAACAAAUUUGUCACGCUUUAACGCUUCGUUUUAAAUAAUCUAUUACGUUGAUGCCAAUUUCUUGUAAGCUGAUUAGUAAAAUGUGGAUCAUACAAUCCUUCUAAAAUAUUUUCAAUCAUUCCUGUUGUUUGAUUCCAUAUAUGUAUAUGCGAAGC